rnacentral:rRNA from 1 species
CUACGUGCCAGCAGCCGCGGUAAUACGGAAGGUUCGGGCGUUAUCCGGAUUUAUUGGGUUUAAAGGGAGCGUAGGCUGGAGAUUAAGUGUGUUGUGAAAUGUAGACGCUCAACGUCUGAAUUGCAGCGCAUACUGGUUUCCUUGAGUACGCACAACGUUGGCGGAAUUCGUCGUGUAGCGGUGAAAUGCUUAGAUAUGACGAAGAACUCCGAUUGCGAAGGCAGCUGACGGGAGCGCAACUGACGCUUAAGCUCGAAGGUGCGGGUAUCAAACAGGAUUAGAUACCCUGGUAGUCCGCACAGUAAACGAUGGAUGCCCGCUGUUGGUACCUGGUAUCAGCGGCUAAGCGAAAGCAUUAAGCAUCCCACCUGGGGAGUACGCCGGCAACGGUGAAACUCAAAGGAAUUGACGGGGGCCCGCACAAGCGGAGGAACAUGUGGUUUAAUUCGAUGAUACGCGAGGAACCUUACCCGGGCU